UACAGAGGUCCCAAGCGUUGUUCGGAUUCACUGGGCGUAAAGGGUGCGUAGGCGGUCGGGUAAGUCUGAUGUGAAAUCUCACAGCUUAACUGUGAAACUGCAUUGGAUACUAUUCGGCUAGAGAGUUGGAGGGGGGACUGGAAUUCUUGGUGUAGCAGUGAAAUGCGUAGAUAUCAAGAGGAACACCAGUGGCGAAGGCGGCUACCUGGACCGGUUCUGACGCUGAUGCGCGAAAGCGUGGGUAGCAAACAGG
rnacentral:rRNA from 1 species